rnacentral:tRNA from 15 species
GCCCGGAUGAACCAUGGCGGUCUGUGGUGCAGACUUCAAAUCUGUAGGCGGUUAGCGCCGCAGUGGUUCGACUCCACCUUUCGGGUG